rnacentral:tRNA from 6 species
GCCCGCGUAGCUCAGUCGGAAGAGCGCAUCCUUGGUAAGGAUGAGGUCACCAGUUCAAUUCUGGUCGUGGGCUCCA